GUACUCACUUCGGCAGCACAUAUACUAAAAUUGGAACAAUGCAGAGAAGAUUAGCGUGAUCACUGCACGUGGAUGACACACAAAUAUGUGAAGCCUUCCAUAUGUUU